GUAGGGUGCGAGCGUUAAUCGGAAUUACUGGGCGUAAAGCGUGCGCAGGCGGCGGCUCAAGUCAGGUGUGAAAUCCCCGGGCUUAACCUGGGAAUUGCGCUUGAAACUAGGCUGCUUGAGUGUGACAGAGGGGGGUGGAAUUCCACGUGUAGCAGUGAAAUGCGUAGAGAUGCGGAGGAACACCGAUGGCGAAGGCAGCCCCCUGGGUCAACACUGACGCUCAGGCACGAAAGCGUGGGGAGCAAACAGGAUUAGAUACCCUGGUAGUCCACGCCCUAAACGAUGUUGGAUAUAGUGUGGUGGGGAAGGAGACUUCCUUAGUACCGCAGCUAACGCGUGAAGUCGACCGCCUGGGGAGUACGGUCGCAAGAAUUA
rnacentral:rRNA from 1 species